AGCAGCCGCGGUAAUUCCAGCUCCAAUAGCGUAUAUUAAAGUUGUUGCAGUUAAAAAGCUCGUAGUUGAAUUUCGGGGUUAGUAGGUCGGUCAUGCCACUGGUAUGUACUGGUCUCACUGAUUCCUCCUUCCUGAUGAACCGUAAUGCCAUUAAUUUGGUGUUGCGGGGAGACUGGACUGUUACUUUGAAAAAUUAGAGUGUUUAAAGCAGGCUAACGCUUGAAUACAUUAGCAUGGAAUAAUGAAAUAGGACGUUCGAUCCUAUUUUGUUGGUUUCUAGGAUUGACGUAAUGAUUAAUAGGGAUAGUUGGGGGCAUUAGUAUUCAAUUGUCAGAGGUGAAAUUCUUGGAUUUAUUGAAGACUAACUACUGCGAAAGCAUUUGCCAAGGAUGUUUUCAUUAAUCAAGAACGAAAGUUAGGGGAUCGAAGACGAUCAGAUACCGUCGUAGUCUUAACCAUAAACUAUGCCGACUAGGGAUCGGAUGAUGUUAAUUUUUAACGACUCAUUCGGCGCCUUACG
rnacentral:rRNA from 1 species